UGGUACAUGAAGGUCUUUGC
rnacentral:snRNA from 1 species